GUCUUUUUGAAUUAAAUUUAAAGUCUAACCUGCCCACUGAAAAUUUUAAAUGGCCGCAGUAUUCUAACUGUGCAAAGGUAGCAUAAUCAUUAGUCUUUUAAUUGAAGGCUGGAAUGAAUGGUUGGACGAAAUAUUAACUGUUUCAUUUAAAUUUUUUAUAGAAUUUUAUUAUUUAGUCAAAAAGCUAAAAUAAAUUUAAAAGACGAGAAGACCCUAUAAAUCUUUAUAUUUUGUUUAUUUUAAUUAUAAAGAUUAUUUUUAUUAUAAUAAAUUAAAAUAUUUUAUUGGGGUGAUAUUAAAAUUUAAAAAACUUUUAAUUUUUAAAACCAUUAAUUUAUGAAUAAUUGAUCCAUUUAUAAUGAUUAAAAAUUUAAGUUACUUUAGGGAUAACAGCGUAAUUUUUUUGGAGAGUUCAUAUCGAUAAAAAAGAUUGCGACCUCGAUGUUGGAUUAAGAUAUAAUUUUGGGUGUAGCCGUUCAAAUUUUAAGUCUGUUCGACUUUUAAAUUCUU
rnacentral:rRNA from 1 species